GACGAACGCUGGCGGCGUGCUUAACACAUGCAAGUCGAACGGAAAGGCCCUGCUUUUGUGGGGUGCUCGAGUGGCGAACGGGUGAGUAACACGUGAGUAACCUGCCCUUGACUUUGGGAUAACUUCAGGAAACUGGGGCUAAUACCGGAUAGGAGCUCCUGCUGCAUGGUGGGGGUUGGAAAGUUUCGGCGGUUGGGGAUGGACUCGCGGCUUAUCAGCUUGUUGGUGGGGUAGUGGCUUACCAAGGCUUUGACGGGUAGCCGGCCUGAGAGGGUGACCGGCCACAUUGGGACUGAGAUACGGCCCAGACUCCUACGGGAGGCAGCAGUGGGGAAUAUUGCACAAUAGGCGGAAGCCUGAUGCAGCAACGCCGCGUGCGGGAUGACGGCCUUCGGGUUGUAAACCGCUUUCGCCUGUGACGAAGCGUGAGUGACGGUAAUGGGUAAAGAAGCACCGGCUAACUACGU
rnacentral:rRNA from 1 species